UUGGAGGGCAAGUCUGGUGCCAGCAGCCGCGGUAAUUCCAGCUCCAAUAGCGUAUAUUAAAGUUGUUGCAGUUAAAAAGCUCGUAGUUGAACUUCGGGAUCAGAUUGUUGGUCGUGCCUCGGUACGCACUGGCAUUAUUGGUUCCUACCUUCUGAAGAUCCGCGAUGUCAUUAAUUUGGUGUCGUGGGGAAUCAGGACUGUUACUUUGAAAAAAUUAGAGUGUUUAAAGCAGGCGCACGCUUGAAUACAUUAGCAUGGAAUAAUGAAAUAGGACGUUUGAUUCUAUUUUGUUGGUUUCUAGGAUCGACGUAAUGAUUAAUAGGGAUAGUUGGGGGCAUUAGUAUUCAAUUGUCAGAGGUGAAAUUCUUGGAUUUAUUAAAGACUAACUACUGCGAAAGCAUUUGCCAAGGAUGUUUUCAUUAAUCAAGAACGAAAGUUAGGGGAUCGAAGACGAUCAGAUACCGUCGUAGUCUUAACCAUAAACUAUGCCGACUAGGGAUCGGAUGAUGUUAAUUUUUUAAUGACUCAUUCGGCGCCUUACGGGAAACCAAAGUGUUUGGGUUC
rnacentral:rRNA from 1 species